GACGAACGCUGGCGGCGUGCCUAAUACAUGCAAGUCGAACGCUUCUUUCCUCCCGAGUGCUUGCACUCAAUUGGAAAGAGGAGUGGCGGACGGGUGAGUAACACGUGGGUAACCUACCCAUCAGAGGGGGAUAACACUUGGAAACAGGUGCUAAUACCGCAUAACAGUUUAUGCCGCAUGGCAUAAGAGUGAAAGGCGCUUUCGGGUGUCGUUGAAGGAUGGACCCGCGGUGCAUUAGCUAGUUGGUGAGGUAACGGCUCACCAAGGCCACGAUGCAUAGCCGACCUGAGAGGGUGAUCGGCCACACUGGGACUGAGACACGGCCCAGACUCCUACGGGAGGCAGCAGUAGGGAAUCUUCGGCAAUGGACGAAAGUCUGACCGAGCAACGCCGCGUGAGUGAAGAAGGUUUUCGGAUCGUAAAACUCUGUUGUUAGAGAAGAACAAGGACGUUAGUAACUGAACGUCCCCUGACGGUAUCUAACCAGAAAGCCACGGCUAACUACGUG
rnacentral:rRNA from 1 species